UCUCUCAGGUCUAAUACUCGUUAAUCCAAAUUUCUAAAUACGGCGACAUUUUAAUCCAUUUCUAUACGAGUUAGUCCAAAAUAUUACCAUCCAGAAAAAUUUAUUAUCCUAAAUAACCUUUUAAUGGUUUUGUAGAGAGAGGAAACAAAUUAGUUGCAGAGAAAAUAGUUCUAGGUUUCUUCUUCUUCUUCUACCUCCUUCCUUUCAUCUGCUUCAAUUAAAAUAUGAUCCAAUCGCCAAAGAUAGUGUAGCCAAAUAUAUUUCGCCUUCUUAUUUUUUCAGUUCAGCAAUUUCAUUGGAGAUUUCGCGACAAUGAACUGUUGGAGUGGCCUUUCGAUUAAUUGAAGGAGAAAUUAAACAAAACAUAGAGGUGAAGGAGAUUGAGAAGAAGUAUUAGAAGGAAGUUUUAAAGCUACAACCAAAAUUGGAGAUGUUGAGCUAGGGAUUGGUAAAGAAAAAGCUGCAUGCAUUACUCAAGAUGUGCGGCGAAUGACAUGGAAAAUCAUCGACUUAGGGGUGUCAUAUUGGUGGACCGCUAUAAUUUCGAUGAUAAUAUAGGUAUGGAUAUGAAUGACCAAUUUCAUGCAUGUUUUGUAGAUGUGUACAAAGUGGUGCAUACUUGAAAAAAAUCAAGUGCACACGUCAAAUAAUGAAGUGAAAAUUAAAAAUUUUAAAAAGUGAAAAUUAUAUAGUCAUAUGGGUAUUCUUUUUGUAGCUAUCGAAAAGAGCUUUCUGAAUAUAUAAAGUUUGUGAAUUUUAGAC